rnacentral:sRNA from 1 species
UGCCUUCAUCAUCUCUAUGACCUUCUUGACAGACGGCCUGGCCAACAUGCCAUCGAUCCAAGCCUUCACAAGAGGGAACUCAUCGAGCAUAGCAGCAUGAGGGGUGGCCAGCAGGUAGUACGCAGUUGGGAAAUGGCUCAGAUCCGCAAGGCUCAGGAAGUCUCCAGCUAAGUACCUGAACUUGCACAGACGCUCUUCAUACACCUGAAAUGUCUUCUUGAGCUUCUCCAGAUUCUCUUCCACAACCUUCGCAUCGGUUUGUCCACCGAAAUACACAGGGAGGAUGAGGCAUUGGUAGAUGACCACGGACAUGGGCUCAUCGAAAUGGUGUGACUCAGCUUCCAGCCACACAUCAACCUUGGCAGCGUCAGAAAGGUUGUGCUCCUUCAGGAGUUCAGAGUUGUUCUUACGAAGCACGUACUUCGAAAUUGCACGUGACUC